rnacentral:misc_RNA from 1 species
GCCACCCGACUUACCUCUUCAGAUGUUUGCCUAGGCUUGUAUAGCCUAAGCAGAUUGUGGGUUUCCUGUGUUGCMUACCUACGUCACGGAAUUGUCCCGAUCGAUCAAAGUUGCUUUCGUCUUGUGUCGUCUUGAUGGCAUAAGAUGAACCAUGAAGCUGUCUCUUUGCACCGCAUCGUUAAUGCAUGCAUUGAUGUUGUGGCCCAUUGAGCAUUGCUUGGUACCUUGGAUACGGAACCUUAUGUGGGCAUGGGUCCUCAGGGAUCCUUUCUGCCCUCGUUUAGCGUUCGCGCUUCUCUUAGAAUGACUGCCCAUCUGGAAUGGGAAACCAUUCCGGAUGGGCAUUGUCAAAGAGGAAUGCUACCUGGUUGAUCCUGCCAGUAGUCAUAUGCUUGUCUCAA